rnacentral:rRNA from 1 species
AUUGGUGUAAGAUAAGCUUGUACAAGAUUAGAUAGUAGGUAAGGUAAUGGCUUACCUAGUCAAUGAUCUUUAGCUGGUCUUAGCGGAUGAUCAGCCACAUUGGGACUGGAACAUGGCCCAACCUCUUUUUGGAGGCAGCAGUGAGGAAUAUUGGACAAUGAACGAAAGUUUGAUCCAGCAAUAUCACGUGAAUGAUGAAGGUUUAUUUUUAUUGUAAAGUUCUUUCGAUGAGGAGGAUAAUGACGUUACUCAUAAAAGAAGUCCCGACUAGCCUCGUGCCAGCAGUCGCGGUAAUACGGGGGGGGCAAGCGUUAUUCUACGUUACUGGGUGUAAAGAGUAUUAAGGCUGUUUGGUAAGUUUCUCUUAAAAUACUAAAACUCAAUUUUAGAAAUAAGUGUAAAUACUGCCGAACUUUGAGUAUAAUAGGAGACCGUUGUAUGUUUAGUGUAAAGGUAGAAUUUUUUAAUAUUAAAAAGACAUUCAAAUGGUGAAGACUACGGCCUAUAUUAUCACUGACGCUGAUAUACAAAAGCGUGAGGAGCAAACAGGAUUAGAUACCCUGGUAGUUCACGCUGUGACCGAUGAAUAUUAAUUAUUGGAAAUUAUUUUUUCAUUAAUUGAGCUAACGCGUUAAAUAUUCCACCUGGGGACUAUAAUCGCAAGAUUGAAACUCAAAGAAAUUG